UAGGGAAUCUUCGGCAAUGGGGGGAACCCUGACCGAGCAACGCCGCGUGAGUGAAGAAGGUUUUCGGAUCGUAAAGCUCUGUUGUUAAGGAAGAACGAGUGUGAGAAUGGAAAGUUCAUACUGUGACGGUACUUAACCAGAAAGGGACGGCUAACUACGUGCCAGCAGCCGCGGUAAUACGUAGGUCCCGAGCGUUGUCCGGAUUUAUUGGGCGUAAAGCGAGCGCAGGCGGUCAAUUAAGUCUGAUGUGAAAGCCCCCGGCUCAACCGGGGAGGGUCAUUGGAAACUGGUUGACUUGAGUGCAGAAGAGGAGAGUGGAAUUCCAUGUGUAGCGGUGAAAUGCGUAGAUAUAUGGAGGAACACCAGUGGCGAAGGCGACUCUCUGGUCUGUAACUGACGCUGAUGUGCGAAAGCGUGGGAAUCAAACAGG
rnacentral:rRNA from 1 species